rnacentral:tRNA from 1 species
GCCUGGGUGGCUUGGUUGGUUAAGCGUCUGACUUCGGCUCAGAUCAUGAUCUCGAAGUCCCGUGAGUUCUAGCCCCGCGUCGGGCU